rnacentral:miRNA from 1 species
AGCAUCUUCAAGAUUCACA